CGCCGCGAUGCACGGGUGCAGGAAUCCUGUCCCCUUUUUUUUUUUCCUCAGAACCAAGGAGAUUUUCCCAGCCCACGACAUCCACAGCAGCUGACUCCUCUCCACAUGCAUCACAGAAGGCCAAAGAUGGGAUUUGAAACAGAAGAGGGAAACACUAAAGUGGCAAAAAUUGGUUUCCCCAGAAUGAGGACCCAGAAUAACAAAGCUCGUGGCUCCAGAGGAAUCCCUCCGUGACACACCGCUCUCCUUCCUCCCUCGGGCUGGGACACAAGAGGAAACCAAAGCACGCUCCCAUUUUCCCGGUGACUAUUAUUUCCUGUAUUAUGGUAAUAACUACAGCCAUCCUGCUGACAGCCCCUGUCCCCAAGCCAGGCCUGCUUACUGUGGGAUGGCAAAAAUGCUUCCCCACACACAGCCCUUUUCCUUCAUCCUGCCCCUGGUUUGGGCAGAGGCUUCCAGCAAUGCCAACAAGAUUGGAUCAGCAUGUUGUAAGUGCAUCUAAUUGGUUUUGUCCCCUGGUGUUUGGUGACUUUUAGGAUGGAUAUGGCUCUCAGAACAGUCAAGUAGAAUUUGUUACCUACAGGCUGGGGGUGACGUUUAGCACCUGGAUCUAACAGCAGGUCACUGUAUAGUUGUUCCUCUGCUGAGCCACUGAGCCUCUUCACUGUGGGUAAAUGCUGCACCUCUUCCAUCAUCCUUGUCCUCAGCAGCUCUGGUAGGUAAGGGCCCACCAGCCCACCCUGCAAACCUCAGGGUCCUCCUUGACCACCUUUAGCCACCCGUAAUUUGUAGGGUGCUGCAGAGUGGCUCCUGGCUGCACCUCAUUUCAAAGUGUCAUGUACAAGACACCCCAAAUCCACAGAGCUGGGACUGCAAUCAUUUCAGCCAGGCAGCCAACACACGUGUGAAAACAGUCCUUUUUCAUCUGUCAGGCUUUAAUCUCCAUGAAACCUGCUCGUGGUUUGGGGCUCUGUGAUGGAUUUUCAGUGGUCAAUACAGAAGGUUCACUUGCCCUUCAGAAUAAAGGCGAAGCGGGUGA